GUCUAUGGCUGUACCACCCUGAACACGCCCAGUCUCAGAAGCUAAGCAGGGUCAGGCGUGGUUAGUACUUGGAUAUGAGUUAGUACUUGGAUGGGUGAUUUCCAGGGGCCAGGAAGU
rnacentral:rRNA from 1 species